rnacentral:tRNA from 1 species
UGCCCUAUGGCGAAAUGGUAACGCACAAGAAUUUGACUCUUGUAAUUGUUGGUUCGAGUCCAACUAGGGUAG